UAGGGAAUAUUGGUUAAUGGGCGAAAGCCUGACCCAGCAACGCCGCGUGCGCGAUGAAGGCCUUCGGGUUGUAAAGCGCUUUUGAGUGGGAUGAGGAAGGACAGUACCACUCGAAUAAGUCUCGGCUAACUACGUGCCAGCAGCCGCGGUAACACGUAGGAGACGAGCGUUAUCCGGAUUUACUGGGUGUAAAGCGCGUGCAGGCGGUUUGGAAAGUUGGAUGUGAAAGCUCCCGGCUUAACUGGGAGAGGUCGUUCAAUACUUCCAGUCUUGAGUGCAGUAGAGGGAAGUGGAAUUCCGGGUGUAGUGGUGAAAUGCGUAGAUAUCCGGAGGAACACCAGUGGCGAAAGCGGCUUCCUGGACUGUAACUGACGCUCAGACGCGAAAGCUAGGGUAGCAAACG
rnacentral:rRNA from 1 species